AGAUCGUGAUGAGGACACUUGUGCAACAAAUCUUUGUAUCUCUCCCAUGCUUCAUUCAGAGAUUCACCCUCGAAUUGGAUGAAGGUAGUAAUAUUGUUCCUCAGAUU